UACGUAGGGUGCAAGCGUUGUCCGGAAUUAUUGGGCGUAAAGAGCUCGUAGGCGGUUUGUCGCGUCUGCUGUGAAAACUCGGGGCUUAACCCCGGGCCUGCAGUGGGUACGGGCAGACUAGAGUGCGGUAGGGGAGACUGGAAUUCCUGGUGUAGCGGUGAAAUGCGCAGAUAUCAGGAGGAACACCGGUGGCGAAGGCGGGUCUCUGGGCCGUAACUGACGCUGAGGAGCUAAAGCGUGGUGAGCGAACAGG
rnacentral:rRNA from 1 species